rnacentral:ncRNA from 1 species
GUUUUGGUCCUAAACUUGCCGUUGUUUUUUAUCAAAUUUACACAUGCAAGCUUCAACAGCCCAGUGAGAUGCCCAAAACCCCUAAACAGCCAUAAGGAGCAGACAUCAGGAUCAGAAAUGUUCUAGCCCAUAACGUCUUGCUAUGCCACACCCACACGGGUACUCAGCAGUGAAUAAUAUUAAAACAUGAGCGAAAGCUCGACUUAGUUAUGAUAAACAUAGUCGGUAAAUUUCGUGCCAGCCACCGCGGUUAUACGAAAGACCUAAAACAACAGCCUACGGCGUAAAGCGUGACUAAAGCAUAUCAAAAAUUAAAGAAAAACUACUUCAAAGUCGUAAAACACCUUGUUAGUAAGACCACCAGCAACAAAAUGUCUUUAAACAAAAGAUUACUUGACCUCACGAAAGCUAAGGAACAAACUAGGAUUAGAUACCCUACUAUGCUUAGCCCUAAACAUAGACAGUAAACACACAAUACUGUCCGCCAGAGAACUACAAGUGAAAAACUAGAAACUCUAAGGACUUGGCGGUGCUCCAUACCGACCUAGAGGAGCCUGUCCUAUAAUCGAUAACCCACGUUUUACCUCACCCCCUCUCGAAACUCAGCCUAUAUACCGCCGUCGCCAGCUUACCUUAUGAAAGAAUUAAAGUAAGCACAACAGUUAAUAACUAAAACGUCAGGUCAAGGUGUAGCUUAUGAGGCGGAAGAGAUGGGCUACAAUCUCUACAACAGAGCACACGAACGGCACAAUGAAACCCGUGCCUGAAGGCGGAUUUAAUAGUAAGCUAAACAAGAAACUUCACCUGAAACCCGCUCUGGAGCGCGCACACACCGCCCGUCACCCUC